GAAGAUCACAAAACACAAAAUUUCAAAAAAUAAAAGACAAGACAAAAAUUAGUACGAAGAACAAGAAAGUUCCUAAAUCUCGUCGAAGUAGAUUAACGUGUGUGUUUUUUGCACGAAAUUUCGUGUUCUUCUUUCCUACACAAUCAUCAUCAAUACAACAAACCGUGUCCAAGAAGAUAAGAUCACAAAUUUCCCAUUCAAGAAUCACAAAAAGAAGAAAUUUUUACUUCAAAAACAUCCUUUCUCUCUCUACACUUUCUCUCUCUACCCAUCUCUUCAAAUACCAUCAAUGUCUCAAUUUCAAUUUCAGUUUUCAUUUUCAUUCAUUCUAUAACAAACCCAUUUCCACAUUCUAA